UGCCAAGUCCCAAUCCAAACUGAACAGCAGUCCCAAAUUGAAGCCCUUUAUAGCCUCUCCGGAGCCUGGCGGGUUUUCUUUCUGAGGCUGAUUGCUUUUGUCUUUGGCCCAUCUUGCACAGCACUUCCUGGUUUGGGGGUGGAAGUGAAAUGUUACAAGCCCGACUAGAAAACGCUCCUCUGCAGAGACUGUCAGCCCGGGCUGUUGCCUGUUUGUGACCAGGCCUGACCGAUACCUGCUGUGUGUCAGGCUCUGUGGAGGGACCAGGGACCUCCUACACUCAAGGACAUCACAGUCCGGAAGGAAAGACAAACAAAUCAAUCCACAAGCAAGUGACCGCAGGAACUUCUCACUUCUCACCAGGAAGCAUAUAAAAUGAGAAAAAGGCAGGAUGGAAUCCAGAGAAGAAGGCAGUGGAGCCCAAGAAAGAGCGUCAGUGGGGCAGAAGGAAGUUAAUAGAGAAGUGGUGCUAAAGGCCAAGGGAAGGGCCUUCUAAAAGGAAGGGCUGGUCCACAAUAAAAAAAUGUCACUCAAAGGUUGGGUGGGACAAUGUAUGAAGAGUGUCCUUUUGAUCUGACAGCUGAGAGGUUUUUGAUAACAGUCAGUGGGUAAAACUGGGAAGGAGACAGUUUCUCUGCAGGGCCCGCAGUUUGGACAGUCCCCUUCACUUUGGGUGGUGUUUUAUUCUACCACCAUGCACCCCAGGAAGGGACGUUACCCUGGAGCUUCUGGCUGACAUCCCAGUGUCCUCCAAUGCCACUGAAACAUACUUGUCCUAUCUGCCAUCUCCAGACUCUCGGUCAACUUUGCUCCACUCCAUAGUGAUGUUUUCCUGAGUAAAUCAGAAAAAAAAAAAAAGAAUCCUUGUAGACAGGCAACGACUAAUUAGCAAAUAUGCAAAGCUCUCAGCCUCCUUUCACUUAUGCCAUCAUGGAU